rnacentral:rRNA from 1 species
ACCAGAGUACUAUGAAUAAUUAAAUUUAAAACUCAAAGGACUUGGCGGUGUCUUAGACCACUUAGGGGAACCUGUCUCGUAAUCGACAGUCCACGUUAUACCUGACCUUUUUUUGUUGUCAGUUUGUAUACCGUUGUCGUCAGGUAACUUUUUAGAAAAAUGAAGUUAGCAAUAUAAAUAGAUUAUUUGGGACGUCAAAUCAAGGUGCAGCUAAUAGAAAGGGGAGGAUGGGUUACAAUUAUUUAUUUAUAAUUACGGAAGUAAGAAUAUAGAAAUAUGUUACAUAAGGAGGACUUGAAAGUAAAUUAGAGUAGAUAUAUAAUUUGAAUAAGGCUCUGAGACGUGU